CAGUGUUGGUUGCUUUUGAAAAUCUCCUUUUGUUCUUGGAUAGCAAAGGAAAUAGAAUUGUGAAAGCCUGGAGCUAUGCUUCCCUUUUGCACAAUAGCAUCUUUACCAGAGGCUGAUGUAUAUUAAAGCACCAAGGAAGCUGCAUUUCUGAA
rfam:Otolemur garnettii contig020007, whole genome shotgun sequence.